GGCCCGUUAGCUAAAGUUGGUUAGAGCGUCGUGCUAAUAACGCGAAGGUCGUGGGUUCGAUCCCCCCACGGGCCA